rnacentral:rRNA from 1 species
AGGUUAAGCAAAGAAGGGCACAGGGCGGAUGCCUUGGCACUGAGAGCCGAUGAAAGACGCGAUAAGCUGCGAAAAGCUGCGGA